AUCCGGAUGAUGAGUCCCAAAUAGGACGAAAUGCGCAUCCUAGAU
rnacentral:hammerhead_ribozyme from 1 species